GAUCAUUACCGAGUGUAGGGUUCCUAGCGAGCCCAACCUCCCACCCGUGUUUACUGUACCUUAGUUGCUUCGGCGGGCCCGCCAUUCAUGGCCGCCGGGGGCUCUCAGCCCCGGGCCCGCGCCCGCCGGAGACACCACGAACUCUGUCUGAUCUAGUGAAGUCUGAGUUGAUUGUAUCGCAAUCAGUUAAAACUUUCAACAAUGGAUCUCUUGGUUCCGGCAUCGAUGAAGAACGCAGCGAAAUGCGAUAACUAGUGUGAAUUGCAGAAUUCCGUGAAUCAUCGAGUCUUUGAACGCACAUUGCGCCCCCUGGUAUUCCGGGGGGCAUGCCUGUCCGAGCGUCAUUGCUGCCCAUCAAGCACGGCUUGUGUGUUGGGUCGUCGUCCCCUCUCCGGGGGGGACGGGCCCCAAAGGCAGCGGCGGCACCGCGUCCGAUCCUCGAGCGUAUGGGGCUUUGUCACCCGCUCUGUAGGCCCGGCCGGCGCUUGCCGAACGCAAAUCAAUCUUUUUCCAGGUUGACCUCGGAUCAGGUAGGGAUACCCGCUGAACCUAAGCAUAUC
rnacentral:misc_RNA from 1 species